rnacentral:rRNA from 1 species
CUACGGGGGGCUCCAGCGGGGAAUAUUGCACAAUGGAGGGAACUCUGAUGCAGCAACGCCGCGUGGAGGAUGACACAUUUCGGUGCGUAAACUCCUUUUAUAUAAGAAGAUAAUGACGGUAUUAUAUGAAUAAGCACCGGCUAACUCCGUGCCAGCAGCCGCGGUAAUACGGGGGGUGCAAGCGUUACUCGGAAUCACUGGGCGUAAAGAGCAUGUAGGCUGGUUUGUAAGUUGGAAGUGAAAUCCUAUGGCUUAACCAUAGAACUGCUUCCAAAACUACUUACCUAGAGUAUGGGAGAGGUAGAUGGAAUUUCUGGUGUAGGGGUAAUAUCCGUAGAGAUCAGAAGGAAUACCGAUUGCGAAGGCGAUCUACUGGAACAUUACUGACGCUCAGAUGCGAAAGCGUGGGGAGCAAACAGGAUUAGAUACCCGUGUAGUC